AACUUUUGAUUCCUGAUGAACAG
rnacentral:piRNA from 1 species